rnacentral:rRNA from 1 species
GAUUGGGGCCCGCGCCUGAUUAGCUAGUUGGUGGGGUAAUGGCUCACCAAGGCAACGAUCAGUAUCCGGCCUGAGAGGGCGGACGGACACACUGGGACUGAGACACGGCCCAGACUCCUACGGGAGGCAGCAGUGGGGAAUUGUUCGCAAUGGGCGCAAGCCUGACGACGCAACGCCGCGUGGAGGAUGAAGAUCUUCGGGUCGUAAACUCCUUUCGAUCGAGACGAAUGGUCUUUAGGUUAAUAGCCUAGAGAAAUGACGGUACCGAGAGAAGAAGCCCCGGCUAACUCCGUGCCAGCAGCCGCGGUAAUACGGGGGGGGCAAGCGUUGUUCGGAAUUACUGGGCGUAAAGGGCUCGUAGGUGGCCAACUAAGUCAACCGUGAAAUCCCUCGGCUUAACCGGGGAACUGCGUUUGAUACUGGAUGGCUUGAGUUUGGGAGAGGGAUGCGGAAUUCCAGGUGUAGCGGUGAAAUGCGUAGAUAUCUGGAGGAACACCGGUGGCGAAGGCGGCAUCCUGGACCAAUACUGACGCUGAGGAGCGAAAGCUAGGGGAGCAAACGGGAUUAGAUACCCCGGUAGUCCUAGCCCUAAACGAUGAAUGCUUGGUGUGGCGGGUAUCGAUCCCUGCCGUGCCGAAGCUAACGCAUAAGCAUCCGC